rnacentral:lncRNA from 1 species
CACAGGUCUCGGCCAGGGCUCUACCUGCGCUCAGGAUUGGAAAAGCUGUGCGCAAUGAGAGGCGCGUUGGUUCUCCGCAACGGGGAGCAGAAACCGGCCUGGGUCAGCCAGUGGACUGGUUGGAAGCAGAGAACUGAAAGAAAACCAACACCCUAGUGAGGCCAAGGGAAGUUUUCCAGUUUCAUGAAGUCCCAUUUAUCAAUUCUUGAUCUUAGAGCCUGAGCCAUUGGAGUUCUGAUCAGGAAAUGUUCCCUUGUGCCAAGGAGUUCAAGGCUCUUUCCCACCUUUUCUUCUAUUGGAUUCAGUGUAUCUGGUUUUGUGUUGAGGUCCUUGAUCCACUUGUGUUGGGAGCCGCGCCCACAUUCGCCGUUACAAGAUGGCGCUGACAUCCUGUGUUCUAAGUGGUAAACAAAUAAUCUGCGCAUGUGCCAAGGGUUUUUAUGACUACUUGUGCUCUGCCUUCCCCGUGACGUCAACUCGGCCGAUGGGCUGCAGCCAAUCAGGGAGUGA